rnacentral:rRNA from 1 species
AAUAUUGGUCAAUGGAGGCAACUCUGACCCCGCCACGCCUCGUGAAGGAUGACGGCCCUACGGGUUGUAAUAUUCUUUUAUACAGGAAUAUAGUGCGUCUCGAGUGACUUCUUGUAUGUACUGUAUGAAUAUGGACCGGUUAACACCGUGCCAGCUGCCGCGGUAAUACGGAGGGUCCGAGCGUUGUCCGGAUUUAAUGGGUUUAAAGGGGGCGUAGGCUGGGAGGUAAGUCAGCGGUGAAAAGCACACGCGUAACGGGUGUCUUGCCGCAGAUACUACUUGUCUUGGAUGAGGAGGAGGUCACUGGAACGGAUGGUGUAGCGGUGAAAUGCAUAGAUAUCAUCCAGAACACCGAUUGCGAAGGCAGGUGACUGUACCUUAAUCGACGCUGAGGCACGAAAGCGUGGGGAGCGAACAGG